rnacentral:rRNA from 1 species
GACGAACGCUGGCGGCGUGCUUAACACAUGCAAGUCGAACGGUGAAAGCGGAGCUUGCUCCGCUGGAUCAGUGGCGAACGGGUGAGUAACACGUGGGCAACCUGCCCCUCACUUCGGGAUAACUCCGGGAAACCGGGGCUAAUACCGGAUAUGACCUCCUUGGGCAUCCUUGGAGGUGGAAAGUUUUUCGGUGAGGGAUGGGCCCGCGGCCUAUCAGCUUGUUGGUGAGGUAGUGGCUCACCAAGGCGACGACGGGUAGCCGGCCUCAGAGGGCGACCGGCCACACUGGGACUGAGACACGGUCCAGACUCCUACGGGAGGCAGCAGUGGGGAAUAUUGCGCAAUGGGCGAAAGCCUGACGCAGCAACGCCGCGUGCGGGAUGACGGCCUUCGGGUUGUAAACCGCUUUCAGCAGGGAAGAAGCCGCAAGGUGACGGUACCUGCAGAAGAUGCACCGGCUAACUACGUGCCAGCCGCCGCCGUAA